rnacentral:pre_miRNA from 1 species
AUAUGCCUGGCUCCCUGUAUGCCACCCGCAUAGCUGCCAACUCAGUCGAGCGCGCUUCCCCCAGCUGUGGGCGUGUACGAUUGCUGGCUCUACUGCGGAUGGCGUGCGAGGAGCCAAGCAUGA